ACCUCUUCAGUCUACGAGACGAUCCAAACCCACAGAGCCACUGGAGGAGAGAGGCCUGAUCAUUCAGAGGAAAAUACUGAUUACGCUAAUGUGAAACCACAGAAUUACAGAGCAAGAUGAAGGUAAUUGGAGUCCUCCAUCAACAGAUGAUCCAGUUUGUUCUACGACCAGCAAUAGCUAUAGAUAAUACUGCUUCUAUAUAGGCUUCAAGUUUUGGGCAUUUAUUGUGUGAGAGUUACACUUAUUAUAUGGUAGGGACCUGCUAGGUGCAGAUCCAGGGAGAUAACCUCAU